GAGCAAUUUCUUUCUUUUUUUUUUUUUUUUUAAAUCAGGAAUCAUGUCUGAAAGCUGCCACAACCAGUUGUAUAGGCAUGUCAAAAUGACUUUAUACAGUCAAUAUGAAACAAGCAUUAAAUAUUUUUUCUCAUGUUGUUGCUUUUAUCAUUAUGAAUUCCUUGCUUGUUGCCACCUAAGAUACGAUGGAGCAAGCACAGUCUUAAAGAAGAUUUGCUGAUUUUUUGUUUUUCUCAGCAGACCAGAGUAGGACAUCCAUAAAAAUUCAUCAGAGAGCAUUUUACUACUGAGCUGCAAAGGUGUCUGAUGAUUUGUGAGCCUCAAGUGACUACUCUGUGGAAUCAUCUGUCCUUGCCUUUGAAUUAGCUUUCCCUAGGCCAUGAGUCAACAUUAGUAGUUUAUACAUCCAAAUUGAUGACAAGAGCACCUCAAAGGCAGCAGCCUCAAGGAGCAGCCAUGGCCCCAGACUUGUCGCACGGAUGCAGAAAACUUAAUGGAGGAGGCUGAGGUCAGAAUGGGAAGAGUUUUUAAAAAAUAAAAAGGGGAGCUAAUAUGUGAGGAACUGAUUGCUGUGCAUUAUUUUCCACUGAACAGACCUUCUUUUAACUUCUAAUCUCAAGCACAUAGCAGCUGUUGUUUUCAUAUUAAAGAUCAGUAAGUGUUUGU
ensembl:lncRNA MIR99AHG mir-99a-let-7c cluster host gene